UCUUCUCCUGGAAACGGGUGGUAAUGCCGGAUGCUCCGACUCCUCGCAUGGGGUGUCGGGAAAGAUUUCAUCGGUAUGGGAUGGGGUCGCGUCCUAUCAGGUAGUCGGCGGGGUAACGGCCCACCGAGCCUACGACGGGUAGCCGGCCUGAGAGGGCGACCGGCCACAUUGGGACUGAGAUACGGCCCAGACUCCUACGGGAGGCAGCAGUGGGGAAUAUUGCACAAUGGGCGCAAGCCUGAUGCAGCGACGCCGCGUGCGGGAUGACGGCCUUCGGGUUGUAAACCGCUUUUGAUCGGGAGCAAGCCUUCGGGUGAGUGUACCUUUCGAAUAAGCACCGGCUAACUACGUGCCAGCAGCCGCGGUAAUACGUAGGGUGCAAGCGUUAUCCGGAAUUAUUGGGCGUAAAGGGCUCGUAGGCGGUUCGUCGCGUCCGGUGUGAAAGUCCAUCGCUUAACGGUGGAUCUGCGCCGGGUACGGGCGGGCUGGAGUGCGGUAGGGGAGACUGGAAUUCCCGGUGUAACGGUGGAAUGUGUAGAUAUCGGGAAGAACACCA
rnacentral:rRNA from 1 species